GAUCAUGGCUCAGAUUGAACGCUGGCGGCAUGCUUUACACAUGCAAGUCGGACGGCAGCACAGAGAAGCUUGCUUCUUGGGUGGCGAGUGGCGAACGGGUGAGUAAUAUAUCGGAACGUACCGAGUAAUGGGGGAUAACUAAUCGAAAGAUUAGCUAAUACCGCAUAUUCUCUGAGGAGGAAAGCAGGGGACCUUCGGGCCUUGCGUUAUUCGAGCGGCCGAUAUCUGAUUAG
rnacentral:rRNA from 1 species